UACUCCUACGGGAGGCAGCAGGCUAGAAAUUUGGGCAAUGGGGGAAACCCUGACCCAGUGACGCCGCGUGCAGGAAGGAGCCCUUCGGGGUGUAAACUGCUGUCGUGUAGGGAGAAGGGUACUAAGGUGAACAAUCUUAGUGCUUGACGGUACUACAGGAGGAAGCCCAGGCUAACCUCGUGCCAGCAGCCGCGGUAAUA
rnacentral:rRNA from 1 species